AUGGCGCUCGGUGCUGGCGUGAAGCGUCAUUUUCCGAUGCGCAAAGUGGACGACGUUGUCGACUUCUUUCGAGCGCAGCUCGAGAGCGACAACGAGCCGGACCUGGCGCUGCUGUCCAUCGUGAUCGGGUACAUCGAGAACCUGCUGACAUUCCACCGCAACGUCGAACCGGCUUCGGGGGGCGAUCCGCCGCGGCAGCCGUGUUUCCCCGCUGUCGAGAUCGGUCCCAUCGAAGCGCUGCACGCUAAGUUCUCCUGUCAGAUCAAGGGAUCGCUCGACCUGAGCGCAAUCGAGACGGACUCGCCCGCUGGCAUGCGUGAUCUCAUCAAGCGAGUGUCGGACGCUAUCUGGUCCUCGCUUACCAGGAGUUUCUACAAGGAUCGGCCUCACCUCCAGUCUCUCUACAGUUAUCUCACCGGGAACAAGCUGGACUGCUUCGGUGUGGCCUUUGCUGUGGUCGCUGCGUGCCAGACAUUGGGGUUUCCGGAUGUUCACCUGGCGUUGUCGGAGGACCAUGCAUGGGUCAUCUUUGAAGAACGAGAAGAGACCGCCGAGGUGACCUGGCACGGCAAAGGAAAUGAGGACAGGCGGGGCCAGCCGAUACCGCAGGACAAGAGCUGGUUGUACCUAAAUGGCCACGCCAUUCCAUGCACGAGGGCGACCGAGGUGGCCGCGCUCGUCUCCGCCAUCAACCCCGCCAUCACCCCCACUACAGACAGUACGGAGCUUGUCAACCUCCAACAGCAACUUCUCUGGCUCCUGUACGACAAAGGCCACCUGAGGAAUUACCCGAUGGCGCUGGGGAACCUCGGAGAGCUAGAAGGCCUCUUUCCAACGCCAGGGCGACCGCCACCACAAGACCUGUUUGCGGAGGCAGUCCAUGCAUCGCGCACAUACUAUCAGAACCACCACGUCUAUCCUUACACCUAUCUGGGUGGUUUCCUGUUCCGCAGCGGGCGCCUCAAAGAAGCGUUGCGAGCGUGGGCGGACGCUGCUGACGUUAUCCGAAAGUUCAACUAUGGUCGGGAGGAUGAGGAAAUCUACAAGGAGUUCAUGGAGAUUGCCAACGAGCUGGUGCCGCAGCUGGUCAAGCUCAGCAGCUCGGGAGACGGCUCGCUCCUGCAGGAUCCAAGCUGCUUUGCGCACCUGCUGCGCUUCUACGACGGCCUGUGCGCCUGGGAAGAAGGUUCUGCCACGCCUGUGCUUCAUAUUGGCUGGGCGCGACCACUUGUCGGGACAAUCGCCAAGUUUCCGGCAUCGGUGAGGUCAGCAGUGUCUGUGCACGCAUCGACGGGGGACGAGGAAGAAGGGGCCAAGCAGAAGAACAACAAGGACGCGCCGCCUUCAGUCUCUAAAGAGGAGUCCAAGAAGGGCAGUGAAACGUCAUCACAGGAUGGCCUUAUGGCCGACGGCAAAUUGCCCAAGGAGGAGGACUUCCUCAAAAGCCUGGAGAACCAGCUGGGGCAGAGCAACGGGCCGCCGCAUCCCGACAUCGUCGCACUGGCCGCGGCAGUGCGCGGAGAAUAUCCUCAACCCCGAUUACCUCUUGGGCUGUGGGGAGCCCUUCUCAACCAAAAACGGCAACAACGGGCUAUCUGCCCUGAAGGCCUCAGAGUCGGACUUUAUGGUUGGCGACCUCUUUGACCCCAAGGUCAAUGGUCACGCAAGCCCCGAUGACCUCAUUCGGGCCGUGCAGCAGGAGGCCAACAACAACAGCAGCAGCUUCAGCUUCGACGAUGAUGACCUAGAUCUGGAUGAUACAAAGGCAGCAUUGUCUGCAAAGCCAGAGAAGUCGGGAAGCCGGAGUAGCGGCGAUGGCGGCGCAGCAGCCGUCACGCUGUCGAGUCAAAAGAUGGCCGGCCUCAAGGACCUCCUCCUUGCGGAGAAACUGAACACCUCGGCGAUCCAGCUGCAGCUCACGGCUCAGUCGCAGGUCCAAGUGGUCAAGCGAAGCCAAUCCAAUUCGGCCGGCGGGCUGCACGAACCCACGACGAGGCACUCCAAGAGGACACGCCGAGAAUGAGAAGCCCGAACGUCAAGACUUCACCAUUGCUGCCGCCUGCAGGCUUGCUUCUUCGUUGCUAAGUAGCCUCUCAUCAUCUGUUUGCACUCGGAUGUCGUCUACAGACGUGUUCUUUAUCUCUGUUGGUAGUGAAUAGCGGAGCGCCCUACCCAAAAUUAUGUAAGCUUUGGCUUGACAUUUUUUGCUCUGGAUGCUGGGCAACUGUGGCAGUUAUUUCCCAUUUGCUGCUCGGCUAUGUCCUGAAGGUUGCCCUAUGUGGCCUGUAGGUCGCCCUAUUUGGCCUGCAGGUCACCCUAUCUGGCCUGCGGGCGACCUUUCCUUGAUCGCAUUAGUGCACAAGUGCAGGUUGCGCCAUUUUUUUAGAUGUUUUGCCGCUUGCACCAUGUUUUAGAUCGAUAUGUUAGGUCAGCAAUGGUGGAAUUGUUUUUUUGCGCGUGUUGACACAGUCUUGCGCCACUUCAUGAACUUUCGCGGUAUUGUUCGUUGCGCCAGCACUUUGUUUUGUGAUGGUUGCUGUUGUUGAAAGGUUGGAAAAUAAGGAUGUUUUCUUCCCCUUCUUAUUUUAUUUUUAUUACUUUUUUGCAUGUACAUAUCAUAGCUUCAACAAUAGUUGAACUUCAUCAGAGGAAUCAUGAAUGGAAUUGAAAUGGGCCCCAAAUCCAUGCACUGCUCUAGUAUACACAAGUUUUUUGUUAGACCGAGACGUGGAUGUUAUUUAAGUGUUCUUUUGUCAAACGUGAGUGCCCGGUACGAAGCUUUAAGCUAUUUUUCAAUUUUUUUUCUACUUUCAUUCCGUUUGCAUUUCACAUAUUAUAUAGUUACAAUGGAUUUAGAGAGCACUGCAGUAGCUGAUUCUGCGUCCGCGGCAUUUAUUGUUCGAGCGUUACUUAGGCGGGCUUCUCCUAGUGUUGUUUUCAAUGUGGGACGCACAAGACUGGGGAUGGGCACUGCAUACCGUACUUUACAGAAUUCAGCGGCACUUGUCACUCUGCAGUGUAAUGCAAGACCCUCACCCUUGUUAUCAACAGCAUCGAGUGCUUAUCAAGCAUUCAUUGCUCUUUGUCUAUGCCACAUGGCUUGCAUUUAUAGAAACUGUAUUACCUAUGUGAAGCUGAAUGGCAAGCCCGAUGAUUGUAUAGGGAUGCGUGUUUUUAUUCUCGAGACUUAGUAGAACGAGAGUUUGGGCUUGCGACUUUUUCUGGUGUCACUCAGAUCUUGUGACGUUUGUAUUUCACGCAUCAGUCGUUGAAACAACCUGCAUUGUUUGUGAAACCUGCAGCAGUCAGAUGCAUUUCAUAAAACGUUCUGCGUUCGUGAACCUUGUACGUCAGCAUUGUACAUCAACAUUGUAUGCCAACGUUGUCGGUUAACAUUAUUAAUCAAUGUUGUACGUCAACAUUUUGUUACAUCCACCUACAGCGUUUGCAUUUCGUACAAAGCUCACGUACAGUGGUGGUCUUUCGUUGAUGCUGUAAGCAUAUCACCUUGUUGCUUAUCACCUUUGCCAGUAGGCAAAGGUGAUAAACAACAAUGCGGAGGAAAGAGGUGCAGCGUUUGUUACGAAAGAUGAGCGAAAACUGAGGGAAUCUUUUUGACAGAAACACGGGUGACUGUACAAGAAUCACCUUUGCAAUAGACACGCGCUUGGCGCAGCAGGCUUGAUAUUAAAGAAAGAGAUAACGAAGUUACGCCGUUUGUGUGCGACUGUUUGCAGCUUCAUUCCUUGUCAACCUCUCGGAGCUUAGCUUUGUGGCAACACGCGCAGGUGACAAGUUAGAAGUCUCGGUGUACUUGUGACGGUUUAUUUGUGUGUACAUAUGUAUAUAAUUUAUGGUCGUAUCUUCGGUUGACGUCUAGUCGAGCAUGAUCAUUUUGCACGUUUUUGUGCAUGAGUAAUGUAACUUUGUCUCAACUUUUUUCUUUUUCUUUCUCUGCAGCGAACUGAAUGAUUUGUGCACCUCGUAGUCGGUGGUAUAUAAAGCCAUCUUUGUUCUCUUUUUCCUAUAUAGCAGCUAUAGCUUUGUACAAGCUUGGUAGCAUUAGGCUCCUCUAGUAAAAUUUUGUGUCGGUUUGCAUGAAAAAUUUUCCAUUGUUAUGCAGCACGUGCGGUCAAUUUGGUGACGGGAGCACUCACAAGCUGUUUCCUUGAUGCAAUGUAAUUGUAUUGCAAUUUACAAAAAGACUCGCAUCCCGAGACAUGUUUGCGUGGUGCGGUGUAUUGUAGCAGCGUUGAUUCUUUCUUUUUCUGACCUUAUACCACAGAGAUUUAACUUUUAUCGCUACCUCUCAUGUUGGCCUCUGGCUUGCAUUGUGCACGUAGUGCUUGCAUGUCACUCUUAUGUUCAGUCAGGCUACGGUUGGUGCUUGUGAUAAGAAAGGCAUAGCACACCAACCAGAUCACUUUUCUUUCAGGGAAUUCACAAUAAUAUAAAGAUUCACACUGCUUCGCAA